rnacentral:rRNA from 1 species
CCUACGGGUGGCAGCAGUCGAGAAUCAUUCACAAUGGGGGAAACCCUGAUGGUGCGACGCCGCGUGGGGGAAUGAAGGUCUUCGGAUUGUAAACCCCUGUCAUGUGGGAGCAAAUUAAAAAGAUAGUACCACAAGAGGAAGAGACGGCUAACUCUGUGCCAGCAGCCGCGGUAAUACGGAGGAUGCGAGCGUUAUCCGGAUUUAUUGGGUUUAAAGGGUGCGUAGGCGGUCCGGAAAGUCAGCGGUAAAAGCCCGGGGCUCAACCCCGGCGAGCCGUUGAAACUGUCGGACUAGAGACGGCGAGAAGUACGCGGAAUGCGCGGUGUAGCGGUGAAAUGCAUAGAUAUCGCGCAGAACUCCGAUUGCGAAGGCAGCGUACCGGCGCCGGACUGACGCUGAGGCACGAAAGCGUGGGUAUCGAACAGGAUUAGAUACCCUAGUAGUC